CAGUCGUACGCUUCUUUUUCACCGGAGCUUGCUCCACCGGAAAAAGAAGAGUGGCGAACGGGUGAGUAACACGUGGGUAACCUGCCCAUCAGAAGGGGAUAACACUUGGAAACAGGUGCUAAUACCGUAUAACAAUCGAAACCGCAUGGUUUUGAUUUGAAAGGCGCUUUCGGGUGUCGCUGAUGGAUGGACCCGCGGUGCAUUAGCUAGUUGGUGAGGUAACGGCUCACCAAGGCCACGAUGCAUAGCCGACCUGAGAGGGUGAUCGGCCACAUUGGGACUGAGACACGGCCCAAACUCCUACGGGAGGCAGCAGUAGGGAAUCUUCGGCAAUGGACGAAAGUCUGACCGAGCAACGCCGCGUGAGUGAAGAAGGUUUUCGGAUCGUAAAACUCUGUUGUUAGAGAAGAACAAGGAUGAGAGUAACUGUUCAUCCCUUGACGGUAUCUAACCAGAAAGCCACGGCUAACUACGUGCCAGCAGCCGCGGUAAUACGUAGGUGGCAAGCGUUGUCCGGAUUUAUUGGGCGUAAAGCGAGCGCAGGCGGUUUCUUAAGUCUGAUGUGAAAGCCCCCGGCUCAACCGGGGAGGGUCAUUGGAAACUGGGAGACUUGAGUGCAGAAGAGGAGAGUGGAAUUCCAUGUGUAGCGGUGAAAUGCGUAGAUAUAUGGAGGAACACCAGUGGCGAAGGCGGCUCUCUGGUCUGUAACUGACGCUGAGGCUCGAAAGCGUGGGGAGCAAACAGGAUUAGAUACCCUGGUAGUCCACGCCGUAAACGAUGAGUGCUAAGUGUUGGAGGGUUUCCGCCCUUCAGUGCUGCAGCUAACGCAUUAAGCACUCCGCCUGGGGAGUACGACCGCAAGGUUGAAACUCAAAGGAAUUGACGGGGGCCCGCACAAGCGGUGGAGCAUGUGGUUUAAUUCGAAGCAACGCGAAGAACCUUACCAGGUCUUGACAUCCUUUGACCACUCUAGAGAUAGAGCUUCCCCUUCGGGGGCAAAGUGACAGGUGGUGCAUGGUUGUCGUCAGCUCGUGUCGUGAGAUGUUGGGUUAAGUCCCGCAACGAGCGCAACCCUUAUUGUUAGUUGCCAUCAUUCAGUUGGGCACUCUAGCAAGACUGCCGGUGACAAACCGGAGGAAGGUGGGGAUGACGUCAAAUCAUCAUGCCCCUUAUGACCUGGGCUACACACGUGCUACAAUGGGAAGUACAACGAGUCGCGAAGUCGCGAGGCUAAGCUAAUCUCUUAAAGCUUCUCUCAGUUCGGAUUGUAGGCUGCAACUCGCCUACAUGAAGCCGGAAUCGCUAGUAAUCGCGGAUCAGCACGCCGCGGUGAAUACGUUCCCGGGCCUUGUACACACCGCCCGUCACACCACGAGAGUUUUAACACCCGAAGUCGGUGAG
rnacentral:rRNA from 1 species